ACGACGAUGAUGAUGUAAAUGUUGAUGACGAAGAGGAGGAAGGAGAUGAUGACGACGAUGAUGAUGAUGUUGACGAAGAUGCUGAUGAUGGUGAAGAGGAGGAAGAAAGUGAAGGAGAAUUUAACCCAGAUGAAGAUGAUGAUGAUGAGGAUGAAGGGGAUGAUGCGACAGCGAGGGGGCAGAAACGGAAGAGAGAUGAUGAAGAUUGAGAUUUGUUUAAUGGAGUGAAAGGAACUAUUAACACUCCUAGAAAUUCAUUGUACAGCUAUAGUAGAUACAUCAAGGACCUCAAUCAUUUAAUUCCUAGGAUUGCCAUGCACAGAAUCUAUUGACAUAGGGAAGGAUUGUAUUGUUUCUCUUCCCUAUGUAUGAACUGUAAUUGAGGUUUUCCCAUUGCCAUUAGAAGACAUCUGUGCCUGGCAGUCAUUUAGGAUGUGAAGUUCAAGAACAUAUUUCCUACCAUUGCACAAGGCUGAAGUUUUAAUAAUAAACUGUACAGUUUGGGUUCAUAAUUCUCAUUUGCUUAAAUUCUUUGAUAUAGAGUGAUCAUUCCUUUGCUGUGUAUUUUAUGAUUUUGUGUGCUUGUUAUUAUGUUGUGCAUUGUGUAAUAUAUUAUGCACUCAAGUCCUCUCAUUCAUCAUAUACAUUACAGAAUUGUUAUAUUUCAUGAACCAUUAAUAAAUUCAUGUUAAUUUUAUCAAAUGAACCUUUUGAAUCUUAAUAUACAAAUUUAAAAAUACAGUCUUGUAACUUUAUUGAAAUCAGUCUUAUAAUUGAUCUUUAUACAGAUUGAUGAAGAUUGUCAUGGAGAAGGCUAAAAAGAAAUUAAAAUUUUGUACUAUAGACUUUUUUAAAAAUUUGAAUGUCAUAAAUUAAGUUCUUGUUAAAGUAUAUCUUAAAUGUUUCAUAACAAUAUCUUGUGCAUUAGUACGGAGCUUAUUAUUGCACAAUGAAAUUUUACAUAUACUUGAAAUAAUCAGUUUUCAGCCUUGUGUUCCAAAAUACUGAGCGGCAU
rnacentral:lncRNA from 1 species